UACAGAGGGUGCGAGCGUUGUCCGGAAUCACUGGGCGUAAAGGGCGCGUAGGUGGCUUGGUAAGCGUGUGGUGAAAGUCCGGGGCUCAACCCCGGAUCUGCCAUGCGAACUGCCGAGCUCGAGCAUUGUAGAGGCAGGUGGAAUUUCGGGUGUAGCGGUGGAAUGCGUAGAUAUCCGAAAGAACACCGGUGGCGAAGGCGGCCUGCUGGGCAAUUGCUGACACUGAGGCGCGACAGCGUGGGGAGCAAACAGG
rnacentral:rRNA from 1 species